UGACGUCAAAUCAUCAUGCCCCUUAUGACCUGGGCUACACACGUGCUACAAUGGAUAGUACAAAGGGUCGCGAAGCCGCGAGGUGGAGCUAAUCCCAUAAAACUAUUCUCAGUUCGGAUUGUAGGCUGCAACUCGCCUACAUGAAGCCGGAAUCGCUAGUAAUCGUGGAUCAGCAUGCCACGGUGAAUACGUUCCCGGGCCUUGUACACACCGCCCGUCACACCACGAGAGUUUGUAACACCCGAAGUCGGUAGGGUAACCUUUAUGGAGCCAGCCGCCGAAGGUGGGACAGAUAAUUGGGGUGAAGUCGUAACAAGGUAGCCGUAUCGGAAGGUGCGGCUGGAUCACCUCCUUUCUAAGGAA
rnacentral:rRNA from 1 species